rnacentral:rRNA from 1 species
CCUACGGGAGGCAGCAGUAGGGAAUCUUCCACAAUGGGCGAAAGCCUGAUGGAGCAACGCCGCGUGGGUGAAGAAGGUCUUCGGAUCGUAAAACCCUGUUGUUAGAGAAGAAAGUGCGUGAGAGUAUCUGUUCACGUUUCGACGGUAUCUAACCAGAAAGCCACGGCUAACUACGUGCCAGCAGCCGCGGUAAUACGUAGGUGGCAAGCGUUAUCCGGAUUUAUUGGGCGUAAAGGGAACGCAGGCGGUCUUUUAAGUCUGAUGUGAAAGCCUUCGGCUUAACCGGAGUAGUGCAUUGGAAACUGGGAGACGUGAGUGCAGAAGAGGAGGGUGGAACUCCAUGUGUAGCGGUGAAAUGCGUAGAUAUAUGGAAGAACACCAGUGGCGAAAGCAGCUCUCUGGUCUGUAACUGACACUGAGGUUCGAAAGCGUGGGUAGCAAACAGGAUUAGAUACCCCAGUAGUC